rnacentral:rRNA from 1 species
GAACUGGAGCUGCCAGAGGGUGACAGCCCCGUACGGCCGGACGUGCCGCCCGCGCGAAGCUCCCUCGAACAGUCGAGUAGUUUGGGAAUGCUGCUCAAAGCGGGAGGUAAAUUCCUUCCAAGGCUAAAUACCGGCCGGAGACCGAUAGCGCACAAGUAGAGUGAUCGAAAGAUGAAAAGCACUUUGGAAAGAGGGUUAAACAGUACGUGAAAUUGCUGAGAGGGAAGCGCCUGCGGCCAGACUCGCGCCCUGCGGAUCAUCGGGUGCCUCGCGGCGGUGCACUCCGCCGGGACGCGGCCAGCAUCGGCUCGCGGCGGGGGACAAAAGCGGGGGGAACGUGGCCUCCCCCGGGAGGGUUAUAGCCCCCCGCCAAUGCCCCGCGGCGGGCCAAGACCGCGCCAAGGAUCUUGCGUAAUGGCCGUCGCGGCCGUCUUGAACACGGACCAAGGAUCGACGUNCGCCCCAGUGUUUGGUGACAAAGCCUUACGCGCAAUGAAAGCGAACGCAGUGGGAGCUUNGGGCACCACCGACCGAUCUGAAGUCCCGGAUGGAUUAAUUGGAACGUGGNCCUUCGGACCCGAAAGAUGGUGAACUUANCCUGCUUAGGCGAAACCCNAGGAAACUUUGUGGAGGCCCCAACGGUUCUUACUGCNAAAUGAUUG